rnacentral:rRNA from 1 species
UGGGGGAUAUUGCACAAUGGGCGCAAGCCUGAUGCAGCGACGCCGCGUGGGGGAUGAAGGCCUUCGGGUUGUAAACUUCUUUUGCUCUGAACAAGGCGCACUUUGGGGUGUGUUGAGUGUAGGGGUUGAUUAGCGCCGGCUAACUACGUGCCAGCAGCCGCGGUAAUACGUAGGGCGCGAGCGUUGUCCGGAAUUAUUGGGCGUAAAGGGCUUGUAGGUGGCUGGUUGCGUCUGUCGUGAAAGCUCAUGGCUUAACUGUGGGUUUGCGGUGGGUACGGGCUGGCUUGAGUGCAGUAGGGGAGGCUGGAAUUCAUGGUGUAGCGGUGGAAUGCGCAGAUAUCAGGAGGAAUACCGGUGGCGAAGGCGGGUCUCUGGGCUGUUACUGACACUGAGGAGCGAAAGCAUGGGGAGCGAACAGG